UUCUGUGCCCGCAUCUCCCCCACCAGCCUGGCCACUACCUCCUUUUGCAGGCCCAACUUGGCAUCAGCUCCACCUUUGCAAAGUGAUGAACUGUCCUCGGAACUGUUCCCAGGCCAGCAUGAGACAAGCCUCUGUGCCCGUAUAGUUCUGGAGCGGGUCCUGCUAUCUUCAGCUCUAAGCAAGUAUCUGAGUAGGUCAGAGAGAAACGUCUGGGGAAAUCGGAUUAAAGAAGGUAACAGCCCCUGGAAGAAUUUGGCCCCAAAGCUGAGGACUCCUCAAUCAAUAUGCAUGACUUUCAGAAUUCCUAUUUUAAUCAGCAAAACGGAAAUGAAAUUCCCAAUGUAGCUUUUAGUUAAAAAAAAAUAUAAAUUACAAGUGGUACAUGAUAUUCAUGCAUGCCAUUUCCUCUGAAAUUCUUUUUAAGAAUUGAAGAAAAUAACCAUUUAACAUACUGGAAA
rnacentral:lncRNA from 1 species